UAGAGGAGGAAGAAUGCCUGCCCCAGAGCCUGUUCUUGGGGAAAAGAAGAAUUGUUGAUAUAGCCUGAGCCCCCAAAGAAGAAAGAUUUCCCUGCAACACCUAAAGGUUAACUUUCAAAAUGUAGGAAGUCAGAAUGGGUGACAUCAUCAGAAAAAUAUGUGGAGCUGAUCUCGACAAGAAGUGAAGAACCCAGAGCAAGAAGGCGGUUAUAACUCCUGAGCCCAGGAAGUUGGCAGCAUCUGGGUUUCAGAGGAGCCAGCGCCUCCGAUAUAUCAGGUUGUCUUGAAGUGAGACUCUGCUAAACCAUUCUUCUUCUGGCUGUAAGAUCUGAAUGCUGUGACCAUUGAUUUGUUGAACCAAGACUCUGAGG